rnacentral:rRNA from 1 species
UACGGAGGGAGCUAGCGUUGUUCGGAAUUACUGGGCGUAAAGCGCACGUAGGCGGCUUUUUAAGUCAGGGGUGGAAUCCCGGGGCUCAACCCCGGAACUGCCCUUGAAACUGGAGAGCUAGAAUCUUGGAGAGGCGAGUGGAAUUCCGAGUGUAGAGGUGAAAUUCGUAGAUAUUCGGAAGAACACCAGUGGCGAAGGCGACUCGCUGGACAAGUAUUGACGCUGAGGUGCGAAAGCGUGGGGAGCAAACAGG